AAAUGUUUAUGAGCAACAUAUUUCUAUGACAGAUGCUGUUACUCAGCAUAUAGAGUGACACUAAUUGAAACAAUCAACAUUAACAUAGUUUUUAUGUUACUUAUGACAUAAAGCAUUUUUUUUUAAAUAUUAUUUGAACAUACUGUUUGAGGGGAUUUCCCUCAACUCCAUAUAUAUAUAUAUAUAAAACCAUAUGAUGCCUUGACUUUGGAGGUUUAGAUUCAAUUGAUGUGUAGACUCAAGCAUCUGUACUGUUUCUUUUUUGUGGACCCUAUCAGUAAAAACCACAGAUGGUGUAAUGGUUUUCUUGGAGUGAGAAGUAGUUCUGGAAUUGUUAGCGUCACUCCAUUCAGGGAUUUCCGCUCUCUUUUUUCCCCUUCGCAGAGUAUAGUAAUCCUCCACUCUGAGACACAUAGUGCCAGAGGCUCUUUGUUCAUGUUCAUUGGGUUGCAGACAGAACUGAGAUGAUAUUUCAAACCGGUGAAGGGUCAUGGGGAAACCUGGAGCCUAUCCCAGGGAGCAUCAGGCACAAGGUGGGGUACACCUUGGACAGGGUGCCAAUCCAUCACAGGCACACUCAUCAUCACCCAUUCAUACACUAUGGACAAUUUGGACAUGCCAAUCAGCCUACCAUGCCUGUCUUUGGACUGGGAAGGAAACCGGAGUACCCAGAGGAAACCCCCACAGCACAGGGAGAACAUGCAAACUCCACACACACAGGGCCACGGUGGGACUCGAACCCCCAACGCUGGAGGUGUGAGGCUAAUGUGCUAACCACUAAGCCACCAUGCACCCAGCACCUCCCUUCUGCGACAACUUCACCUCUGAAUAAUUCAGAGGAAGUCCAUCCAGGCCUUUCUCCAGACUCGAGCUGCGUGAUGAAGAUAGCUGACUUGCUGCAUCAUGAAGUACAUUUUAAUGAGAGAACAUGACUUUUUAUAGCAGAAUCCUUCUCACUGUUGUAGAAGAGCUCUGAGAUCAGUGCAAUGCAUGGAAACGAGUUUUUGAAUAUGAAUGCAAUAUUAACCGGAUCAUCAGUAAAACAAUUAGUUGUGGGAAAAAAAAAAAAACUGUGCCAGUUUUCCUCUCUAGUAUACCCGUCUCCAUCUUGGAGACACCACGCUCUUGACCUUGUGUAGCUUGUCUCUAUGGCAACCUUGACUUUAAACAUUUUUAUGAGAUUUACUGACUCACAUGUCAAGAAAAAAUAAAGGAGCCAAAAAAUGAACUUCAAACUGCCAUACCUUACAGCAAAAAUCAUUCUCAAUAAACUACGGUUAUUACUGGGAAAUUUGCAUAAAAUUAUUAACCAUUUAGGGACAUAUUCCAAUGUAUUCCACUUAAAAAAUACA